rnacentral:rRNA from 1 species
AGCGAACGCUGGCGGCAGGCCUAACACAUGCCGGUCGAACGCCCCUUCGGGGGAGUGGCGGACGGGUGAGUAACGCGUGGGAAUGUGCCCUUUGGUACGGAACAACUGAGGGAAACUUCAGCUAAUACCGUAUGUGCCCUACGGGGGAAAGAUUUAUCGCCAUUGGAGCAGCCCGCGUUGGAUUAGGUAGUUGGUGGGGUAAUGGCCCACCAAGCCGACGAUCCAUAGCUGGUCUGAGAGGAUGAUCAGCCACACUGGGACUGAGACACGGCCCAGACUCCUACGGGAGGCAGCAGUGGGGAAUCUUGCGCAAUGGGCGAAAGCCUGACGCAGCCAUGCCGCGUGAAUGAUGAAGGUCUUAGGAUUGUAAAAUUCUUUCACCGGGGAAGAUAAUGACGGUACCCGGAGAAGAAGCCCCGGCUAACUUCGUG